rnacentral:rRNA from 1 species
UGAACGCUGGCGGCGUGCCUAAUACAUGCAAGUCGAGCGAACAGACGAGGAGCUUGCUCCUCUGACGUUAGCGGCGGACGGGUGAGUAACACGUGGAUAACCUACCUAUAAGACUGGGAUAACUUCGGGAAACCGGAGCUAAUACCGGAUAAUAUAUUGAACCGCAUGGUUCAAUAGUGAAAGACGGUUUUGCUGUCACUUAUAGAUGGAUCUGCGCCGCAUUAGCUAGUUGGUAAGGUAACGGCUUACCAAGGCAACGAUGCGUAGCCGACCUGAGAGGGUGAUCGGCCACACUGGAACUGAGACACGGUCCAGACUCCUACGGGAGGCAGCAGUAGGGAAUCUUCCGCAAUGGGCGAAAGCCUGACGGAGCAACGCCGCGUGAGUGAUGAAGGUCUUCGGAUCGUAAAACUCUGUUAUUAGGGAAGAACAAAUGUGUAAGUAACUAUGCACGUCUUGACGGUACCUAAUCAGAAAGCCACGGCUAACUACGUG